rnacentral:rRNA from 1 species
UACCUCAGUAACGGCGAGUGAAGCGGUAACAGCUCAAAUUUGAAAUCUGGGUCUUUUAGGCUCCGAGUUGUAAUUUGUAGAAGAUGCUUCGGGUGCGGCGCCGGUCUAAGUCCCUUGGAACAGGGCGUCAUAGAGGGUGAGAAUCCCGUAUGUGAUCGGUUGCCUGUGCCCGUGUGAAGCUCUUUCGACGAGUCGAGUUGUUUGGGAAUGCAGCUCUAAAUGGGUGGUAAAUUUCAUCUAAAGCUAAAUAUUGGCCAGAGACCGAUAGCGCACAAGUAGAGUGAUCGAAAGAUGAAAAGCACUUUGGAAAGAGAGUUAAACAGUACGUGAAAUUGUUGAAAGGGAAGCGCUUGCAACCAGACUUGCGCGUUGUCGAUCAUCCGAGGUUCUCCCCGGUGCACUCGACCUCGCUCAGGCCAGCAUCGGUUUCGGUGGUUGGAUAAAGGCCUUGGGAAUGUAGCUUCUUUCGGGGAGUGUUAUAGCCCUCGGUGCAAUGCAGCCUACCGGGACCGAGGACCGCGCUUCGGCUAGGAUGCUGGCGUAAUGGUUGUAAGCGACCCGUCUUGAAACACGGACCAAGGAGUCUAACAUCUAUGCGAGUGUUUGGGUGUCAAACCCAUACGCGUAAUGAAAGUGAACGGAGGUGAGAACCCUUAAGGGUGCAUCAUCGACCGAUCCUGAUGUCUUCGGAUGGAUUUGAGUAAGAGCAUAGCUGUUGGGACCCGAAAGAUGGUGAACUAUGCCUGAAUAGGGUGAAGCCAGAGGAAACUCUGGUGGAGGCUCGCAGCGGUUCUGACGUGCAAAUCGAUCGUCAAAUUUGGGUAUAG